rnacentral:lncRNA from 1 species
AGCAAACUCCCAGCUGCCCCUUCUUACUGGGCCAUGACUUAACUCUGGAAUGUGUUUUGACUCACUGACUGUAAUAGUGACUAAAAGGAACAUGUGGGAGUCAUCAAAAAUCUGCAGGUGGAUCUGACUGUAAGAAAGAGAAACACUUAAUUGGGUACUUACUAAAUGUUUGUCAAAUGGAUUUGAAUAUUUUGUGAAUUUUAUAUUCACAUAAAGGAUUCAGAAGAAAGCGCAACUGAGAAAUGUCCAAAUAUGGUGAAGACACUUCUUCUAGAGUGAAAGACAUAAAGAAAAUAGGCUAACUCCUCUGGGGAGAGGAGGAAAAACAUAAUUUAUAUCUCUAUGUAUAAUGAACUAAAACUUUAUUGCCAAAACUUUAAAAAUGUUUGUUUAGAUGGAACUCAGCAUCUAAACUUUUCUAAAAACCCAUGAUACGUGAGAGAAACAAAAUCAGUCCUAAAAUUACGGUCUGUAAGCAAGGAGACUUUUUUUCUAGAAUACUAUGAAACAAUUUUUUUAAUGGAUCAUCUGUUCUCAUGAUAUUUCUAUUACUCCUUCCAGAAUGGGUUUACAUAUUAAAUAACAAAGCAGAAGCUACCAUUUCCAGGGAAGAGAAUGCAUCAAAUUAUUUAUGAUUUUAUCAAUCCUGAUUAACUGCACAGCCACAAAAUCAACACCAUCCUUGUCACUCCUACAGGCGCUUGAUGCCUGAGUUCUACAUUUCCUGUUUUAUUCCUGUGCACUCAGCACAUCCAUCCACUUUAGUGAAUUGAUUUCAUUGAAUACUGUUAUGGGUUGAAUUGUGUACCCCUAAAAUUCUAAUCCCCAGUACCUGAGAAUAUGCUUGUAUUUGGAGACAGGGCCCUUAAAGAUAUAAUUCAGUUAAAAUGAGGCCAUUAGGAUGGCCAGUCUGACUAGUUUCCUCAUAAAAAGAAAGCAGUCUGACUGGUCCUCCUUAUCAGAAGAAAUUUGGACCCAUAAAGAGACAGCAGGGGUGCAUGUUCAUAGAGGAAUGAGCAUGUGAAGAGGCAGCAAGAGGGAGGCCAUCUGCAAGCCACGGAGAGAGGCCUGGAAUAGCUUCUUCACUUAUGGCUCUCAGAGAAAACAAACCCUGCAAGCAACUUGAUCUUGACUUCUAACCUCUAAAACUGCAAAACAAAACAAAACAAAACAAAAAAAAGUUUUUUUCUCUUCUCUGGUUUAAGCUACUCAAUCUGUGGCAUUUUGUUACGGCACCCCUAGCAAACCAGUACUCUACAUUUAUCCUUACAGGCAUAAGAUUAUAACUGGGCAUUUAUAUAUCUAUUAAAGUAAGUUUCUUCGUAGCUUUAAAAAUAGCUAGUUGUGUGUCUACAGCCAGACAAGAACUUCUUAAUAACGGUCACUGACUCUGCACCACCCCCAAUGGAUGAAUUAAACAGAACAACUGUCAAAAUAGUUGUGUACUCAUAGUUUUGAAUGCAGAUUUGCCUCACUAUGUUUACUCUCAGUGAGUGGAAAGCUCACAUGUGGUACAAGGUGUGCAGACCUUAGAUCCUGAGACAAGCCACAGGCAAACAUUUUCACAGCUAUUUUAUAAUCCCCGAUCAAAAUGAGAUACAUUCUUGAAAUGCUGAAUUUUUCAGAUAUGUUCCUACCACAAUUCUGCCUGCAUUCCAGUCAAUUUUAUUAACAUCUGACAGAUUUUUAGGUUCUCAGGUGAAACAAAUGCAAGCCCUAUCUGGCCCUUGACAAGCAAGCACAAAUUAAGGCACACAGUCCCAUGGAAGUCCCUGGCAUGAAGACCCAAAUAAAAAAACUGUAAAUGCAAACUAGGAAUGGAAAACACAUGCAGUAAGACAUGUUCUCAAAAUAAAAGACAGUCACUUGAA